UUUCUCAAGGCAAAAGAAAAACACUUAGCUAGUAAAUUAAUAACCUACCUUGCAUGUUUUACCCAUCAGGAUGCAUCUUCUACAUAACUUAGGGAGAUAUUACGCGGUGUAAAACACGCAAAAUAUGAAGUAGAUUCAAUUCAUCGCCCAAAUACAAACUCGACCAGCGACGCCAUUUUGUUUUUGCCUACAACCACUUAUUAGCUUCUCAUUCAAUAAAAAUAGCAACUAUUGUUAUAUACCUCGUUCUUGAAAGCACACCGGCACAUGUAAAUAAAGUGGCCGGGUAUUCUGAAGUUGCUCCAUAGUCGCACGAAGAUGAAUUCAACGAUCGUGACACUCGGUCCCAGUCUCAGAAGGAAGAAGGGUCUUCUCGUCUAUAUCCCUUCAAGAUCAAGUCACUACCUGCGGAAUUUGACUUCUCUGCGUACUUCCCCACGGAUUUUCGAAUAAAAGAGAGACUGCUCGCAGUCUAUGCCAGUCUUUGUCAUGACGCAUAGAAUUGUUACCUCACGUCACUCGUGCAUCAUGCUCAUUUUCAUCGUAGUGUUGUACCUUGAGAGCGUGCUGACAACGUGCAUGGAAGGCAAUAACCAAAUACAACGUUAUUUGAUUUCAUCCGAACCUCCGUAUGACAACUAUUACAAUAUUUCCAAGGCCGUUUAUCCCUCUGUGGUUCCCCCAUCUUUGCUGAUCGAUAUUACGGUGACAUUCCUGGCAGCAGCGGAUAGCAAUGGAACUCAAAGAGGUCCGUUUCCAAACAACAAUGCUGGUAGAGCCGGUAUGAACAGUUCUAAGCAGAAUGGGUCAGAUUCUCGUCCAGCUGGAGCCAACACAACAUGGACAUAUAAGUGGAGUAAGUCGUGUUUGUAUGUCAGCGGAGGAAAUAUCACCUUACCUUCCAUGAAUAUUUUUUCCUUGUGGGCGAUUUGGCCAAACAGGCGGAAAAGGGAGCUCUACAUAACUUUGCCGCAGUUCUGCAGUGGCUAUCCCAGUGACCCCCCUCUACACGAUGCCAUGUUAUACUUUCUUUCCACGCAAUGGAGAACACUCUGAUGUCUACACAAAAUCAACAUCAUGUUUGAAAGAAGUGCCUUGGAAAUUCAUGUAUAGUGCGUUUGAGAAGGGAGACUGGGACUGCCUUAGCCAUGAGUGUAGAGAAACCAACCAUAACCAACCUUUGACUGAGUUAAGUUAUUUGGGAAUUUUAACCAGAUUUCUAAAAAAUAAACCUAGUUAACUGCAGCUGCUAGUUAUUCUAGACACAACACUGCACGAAUUCAUGAAUUUCUUUGCAUUUUGCUCACUGAUUAAGUAGACUUCAUCCUGUUAUCUUCUAAGUUUAAUUGUUUAAAUCAGGAGCCCAUAUUUUCUAGAAGGAAAGACUAGGGGGUCCAGAAGGGGUCCAGAAGGAGGUCUAGAAGGGGUCCAGAUGGGUCCAAAAGGGGGUCCAGUAGGGGGUCCAGAUUGAGUGGUCCAUGUUUUGUACCGACCCGUGGGAGGUGUGCGCUCUCACCACUGUGCCAUCCCUGCUCCCCAAUAAUGUCCAUGAGCUCCUGGAAAAAUGUGUCGGGAAACUGUUCAAGAAAAUUAGUAGCAAUAGUUCUCAAAGGGUCCUCCCUCAGAUUAAGAUGCAGCACUAGUCAGUUACCCUAGAUAAACACUGAAUGUUUUAAAACUAGUUUUUUUUUAGUAGUCUUUAAGUUUAAAUACACUUAAGCAAUAUGAGAAAUUCUUCCUGUAAGCCCUUAUUUAACCCUUUUCAAAAUUUAUGUAACGUUUGAUAUGUACUGUAUCAGAUGAAUAAAGACAUUAUUAUUAUUGUAAGUAAUAACAAUAAUAAUUAUUGUUAUUAUCAUUAUUAUACAGCAGUAAAAACUUAUGCAUGCUAUAUGUGCAGUUAUUAAAUAGUAUGACGGGGCGUGUGAGUAACCCAUUACAUUAUUAUUAGUAGUAUUAUUAUCAUUAUCAUUAUUAUUGUGCGUCUAUUGGGCAAGUAAUAUUUUAGUGUUGGCAACUGAAGACUGAAAUGUACUCACCCACCGGGCAACUGGAUUCCAAUUUUUUUUCUUGCCCUGGAUUAUGAACAAUGAGAAAGCUACAUCACCUGGAGUGGGAUUGAAGUGGGGAUAAUUUAGUAGAUUCUAAGAUAACCCCUUGCCUAUUUCUCUCAGGUACAUGAAUAAAUUUCAGAUCCUCAUCCUUAUGCAGUUACACUGCAGACGUUCUUAUGAAGUAUAUAUUAUUGUUUUGUAGGUGCAGGACAUAGCAGUAAUACCAAGUGUUCCUGAUCCACGACUUAACACAGCAGAGUGUGUCAUUGCAGGCCAGGAGAAGGCUUCACAUUUUUCAGGACUGAAACAGUUGCUACAUGGAGUGUGUUGGAGCUUUUUGUUCAUUAGUUUAGUCAUGAGUCAGUUUGUAUCAAUGCACAUAAUAGUUAAGCUACAGAGUUGGGAUAAAAGUAAGGAUAAAGACAAAAUUGCAGUAGUAAUGUCUUGGUCUUUGUUCAUUUUUGGUGCAGGAAUAUUCUUAAAUAUUUAUGCUUUCAAAACAUCGACUGUUCAACAAGAUUUGUAUGUGCGUGUAUUUUUUGGAUUUGUGCUGUUUGUGCUUUUUCGGCGGUCUAUUUAUUGUAUGAUUAAACACCGCAGGAAUGGUACAUGUCAUGACCUAUUUAAAAACUGGGACUUAAUAUCGGGUCAUGAUGAAGAUACAAGCAAAAACAUUCAUUCUUGUGUUUUUCUUUACCCAGCAGUAUUCAUUGCAUGUCAUCACGUACUGUGGAUUUUGCUUGGUGUAAUAACAGAGCCUCUUUGGGGUAGUACAGUUUUAGUGGGUAUUACUUCUUUUUUUUCUGUUUUUUCUUUCCUGCUUCGUGACUUCUACAAGGCAUUUCCUUCUCCCAAAAAUACUCAGUUGUUUUACAUGGCUCUGAUUCUUAUCUUAGGUGGUUCCUUGGCAUUCGUUCUGUUAUUGCUUGUUUUGCUUGUGGUGGCACAAGGUUUCUUUGGUGAGAGUUUGAUUUCUGCUGUUAUUCAAAAUGGUUUGGUUGCAAUUGCUACUGUUGGGUUUGGCUAUCUGAAGGUUGGAAAAGAAAGCGGUGGUGGUGGAGGAGGAGGGGGAGGAGGAGGAGGAGGAGGAGGAGAAGGAGCAGGAGCAGGAGGCAGUAGUCCUGAAGAAGGAGUCGCAUUGCUGAACAUCUCGAAUGCCAACAAUAGAAAAUGAAAACUCAGCUCUGAUUAAUUAGGGAGUUUAAGAAAACCACGGCGGCAACGGCAAC
rnacentral:misc_RNA from 1 species